GACAGAGGGUGCAAACGUUGUUCGGAAUUACUGGGCGUAAAGCGUGCGUAGACGGUUAUUUAAGUCGGAUGUGAAAGCCCCGGGCUCAACCUGGGAAUUGCAUUCGAGACUGAAUAGCUAGGGUACGGUAGAGGGAAGCGGAAUUUCCGGUGUAGCGGUGAAAUGCGUAGAUAUCGGAAGGAACAUCAGUGGCGAAAGCGGCUUCCUGGACCAGUACCGACGUUCAGGCACGAAAGCGUGGGGAGCAAACAGG
rnacentral:rRNA from 1 species